GAUGAACGCUAGCUACAGGCUUAACACAUGCAAGUCGAGGGGCAGCAUGAACAUAGCUUGCUAUGUUUGAUGGCGACCGGCGCACGGGUGCGUAACACGUAUCCAAUCUACCCAUGGCUCGGGGAUAGCCUUUCGAAAGAAAGAUUAAUACCCGAUGGUCUCGGUUUAAGGCAUCUUAGACUGAGUAAAGAUUUAUCGGCGAUGGAUGAGGAUGCGUCUGAUUAGGUAGAUGGCGGGGUAACGGCCCACCAUGCCUACGAUCAGUAGGGGUUUUGAGAGGAAGGUCCCCCACAUUGGAACGGAGACACGGUCCAAACUCCUACGGGAGGCAGCAGUGAGGAAUAUUGGUCAAUGGACGAGAGUCUGAACCAGCCAAGUAGCGUGAAGGAUGACUGCCCUAUGGGUUGUAAACUUCUUUUGUUUGGGAAUAAAGUUCGGGACGUGUCCCGUUUUGUAUGUACCAUUCGAAUAAGCAUCGGCUAAUUCCGUGCCAGCAGCCGCAGUAAUAC
rnacentral:rRNA from 1 species